ensembl:lncRNA
CAGCAACUAAAAUUAAUUGGUGCUGUCACAUGAAAGUCAGAUUGCUGCGUUUAUUUUGGUCCCAAUUGCAUCACGAUGACCAUCCGGCAGCAUUUAUCUAAAUCUGGUUGAGGCUUACAUGGUUUCUCCUGAGAUAUCUUCCUCAUCUGUUUGUGGCUGUGUAUAACUCAAUCUCCUGCCUUUUUGUUUUCUUUCUGCCCAAAUGAAGAAUGAGCGUACCAGCAUUUCCUCAGGACACACCUGUGCACCAUGGCGGAGGAGCCCAUCUUGAGGAAGGCAGGUUUUGCACACAGGUGGUGAUUGGGAGGCCUCAACAGGCUCCUGACCAACCAAAUAAAGGUGGCUUUUCUGCAUUCCUGUAGAGAUCGUGUACACAACAGGGCUGCCAAGUGAGAAGAAAAGGCUUAGGCAGAAAAUACCACGCUUUCGAGAACAGUGUGUGUGUGUGUGUGUGUGUGUGUGUGUGUGUGUGUGUGUGAGAGAUUGGGCUUUCAACAACUGUUUGAGUGAUUGGCAAAUAAAGUGCAUU